UACGUAGGGGGCAAGCGUUGUCCGGAUUUACUGGGCGUAAAGAGCGCGCAGGCGGUCGUUCAAGUCGCGUGUGAAAGCCCCCGGCUCAACUGGGGAGGGUCACGCGAUACUGAUCGACUCGAAGGCAGGAGAGGGUAGUGGAAUUCCCGGUGUAGUGGUGAAAUGCGUAGAUAUCAGGAGGAACACCGGUGGCGAAGGCGGCUCUCUGGGCAACAACUGACGCUGAGGAGCGAAAGCGUGGGGAGCGAACAGG
rnacentral:rRNA from 1 species